rnacentral:rRNA from 1 species
UGAGGAAUAUUGGUCAAUGGGCGAGAGCCUGAACCAGCCAAGUAGCGUGCAGGAAGACGGCCCUAUGGGUUGUAAACUGCUUUUGUAAGGGAACAAAGUUCGGGACGUGUCCCGUUUUGCGUGUACCUUACGAAUAAGGACCGGCUAAUUCCGUGCCAGCAGCCGCGGUAAUACGGAAGGUCCGGGCGUUAUCCGGAUUUAUUGGGUUUAAAGGGAGCGUAGGCCGAAGGUUAAGCGUGUUGUGAAAUGUAGUCGCUCAACGGGUGCACUGCAGCGCGAACUGGCUUUCUUGAGUGCGCGGAAAGUUGGCGGAAUUCGUUGUGUAGCGGUGAAAUGCUUAGAUAUGACGAAGAACUCCGAUUGCGAAGGCAGCUGACUGUAGCGUAACUGACGCUGAUGCUCGAAAGCGUGGGUAUCGAACAGG